rnacentral:lncRNA from 1 species
AAAAUCCAUAGCCUUGAAAUUCGCUAGGAAUAACCGGAUGGAAUCUUCUGAUUUAGAUUCACCUAAUGAUGAGGAGAGGGACUACAUAGCUAAGAAAUUCCGAAAAAUGUUUAGAAAUAAGAAGAAGCUUCAAGAGAGGCAAAAUGGUGGCCCGAGUGAAUCUAGGAGAAAAUCUAAAUCCGUGAGAUGCCAUAACUGUUGGGGUUUCGGUUACGUGAGGAGUGAGUGCCCGAAUGCUAAAAGAGUUGAAGAGAAGGCAAUGAACACUACUCUCACUGAUGACAAGUCUAGCUCGGACAAUCAAAAUGAGGAAUCCACACAUGAGGAGAGUGGAAAAUAUGUGGCCUUUGUUGCUAAGGUUAAGAAUGGAUCCAAACGGGGGAGUGAAAGGGAUGAUGACCUAAAUAGUAGUGAAGAAUCUGGUGAUGAGGGUGGAAGUGAGGAAGAUCUAGAAGAAGCUUAUGAGAAGAUGUAUGAAGAAAGCCUCAAGAUCAUAGCUACUAACCAGGUGCUGAAUAAGAAAGUGAAGGAACUUAGAUUAGAGAAAGAACGGUUAGAGGCCGAGAUAGUGAUCUCACCAAUAAGAAUGAGAUGUCCUCUAGGAGAGUAAGUGAGCUGAUCGUUGAGAAUGAGACCUUAGCUAUUUAGGUUAAG